rnacentral:rRNA from 1 species
UAAGCCCUACGGGGGGCAGCAGUGGGGAAUAUUGCGCAAUGGGCGAAACCCUGAUGCAGCGACGCCGCGUGGGUGAAGAAGCGCCUCGGCGCGUAAAGCCCUGUCAGCAGGGAAGAAAAUGACGGUACCUGAAGAAGAAGCCCCGGCUAACUACGUGCCAGCAGCCGCGGUAAUACGUAGGGGGCAAGCGUUAUCCGGAUUUAUUGGGUGUAAAGGGCGUGUAGGCGGGAGCGCAAGUCAGAUGUGAAAACUCAGGGCUCAACCCUGAGCCUGCAUUUGAAACUGUGUUUCUUGAGUGCUGGGGG